GGUACGUUCGUGACGGCAGCGGGGGGAAGAGGAACCGUGGUAACGUGGUUCGGAAGCACUGGGCGUAAAGGGGGGGUAGGCGGGUUCGGAGGUGCGGGGGGAAAGCCCCCAGCUCAACUGGGGAAGUGCCUCGGGUACUGCGGAGCUCGAGGGAGGUAGGGGCGGAUGGAACUUCCGGUGGAGCGGUGAAAUGCGUUGAUAUCGGAAGGAACGCCGGUGGCGAAAGCGAUCCGCUGGCCCUCUACUGACGCUGAGGCGCGAAAGCCAGGGGAGCAAACGGGAUUAGAUACCCCGGUAGUC
rnacentral:rRNA from 1 species